AUCUCCAGCCAUGACCCACUUUCCUGCGCUGCUUCGGGUGCGUGAGCUGCCCUGUUCGCUCCCAGUUCACGGGAGCUGCCGCUUCGGCCGCCAGCAUCGUCCAUCCUCCCCAACCUCGCAGGGUCGUCCCAGCUCCUCGGGGUCCCUCGCCGCUUUGUUCCGAGGUGUCAGAUAGGAUCUCAGCGCCGGCUGUUUUGCAGGCAGAUGAGGAAUCCAGCACUGCAGAAGGCGCCUGGCCUGGCUGCUGUUCUCCUCCCUGCCUAGCACAAAUCUGGGGACUUCACCCUGAUUUUCCACGGGACCCUGCAAGUCGGGACUGGACCGGUCCAGGGAUUCCCCAAAACCAUGUAGACCUCAGAGGAACCACAAAUUUCUGGUGCGUGUUUCACACCUCUUUGGGAGCGGGGUCCUCAAGCAUGUCUGAGCGACGGUUGGCAAGUCUGGAAACCGCUGCGCUGGUUCUCGUUAAAACCCUCCGAGCUCCCUAUGGUCCUAUUGCAAUUUGGUGCCGAGAAUAACUGCUCUUAACACACCCAUCCCUCACCUCUGCAAAGCCAUAAAGAGCUGGCAGAUGGCUGGACAACAGCUAUUAUAUUCUAUAAUAAUGAGAAGAAUAAAGAUAUUAUAAUAAAUAGCA